rnacentral:snRNA from 1 species
AUUUUAAAAAUAAAAAAAUAAAAAAUAAAGUUGGAAUGACACAGAGAAGAGUAGCAUGGCCCCUACACAAGGAUGACAUACAAAUUAAUGAAGUGUUCCAUAUUUUA